AUGUUUCAGAAUCCGUACUUUUUUUCUUACGUAGUUUUCUCCCUCGGAACCAGCUCCGUACGCUAGAAGAUCAAAUUCUCCGAGAUUAACAUGCUCUCUAUAAAGCUCUCUAGUCUGGGCGAUGGUAAUAAGUAGCUGGGCUGGAAGAAAAGUCAUUUGAAUUUUAUUCUUCGUGUGUGAAAGUUCCUUUUAAAGCUUCCGAGCUGGGUACUUGCGUGAGCUUCCUAUCCCGAACACAUUCUGUAUCCCCUGCUUCGGACUUUUCCUGGGGAUACGAUUUCCACAAUGGGCCAAAUCAUUGGAGUAAAACCUACCCGCAUGCUGGAGGCAAAAUGCAAUCUCCGGUGGAUAUCAAAACUUCCUUGGUCACCCAGGAUCCUCAGUUGCUUCAGAGACCCCUGUCUUGGACCUAUGUGC